CCACGCGCAUCAAGAUCGAAAUACACGGAUCAUUUCACCAAUCCCAAGUCCUCUAAAGGUUUUACAGAAUGUUUGUAAAAUAUAUAUAGUGGAACGGGGAAAAAGUUAUUGGAGACUUGGAGCUCUGAAAUUAGCACGGCAAUUCUUACUUAUUUAUUUCUUUAGUGUGAGCAGGGCUGGGCACAUCAUAAUCCAUUUGGGGAUUUCUACAAAACUACAGUAUCCAUAGGAAGAUCAGAAGAAAGGGCAUUGUUAUUUAAAAGAAAAUGGGUGUUAACAAUCUAUUGUCUGUUUUUUUACUGCACUCAUCUUGUGUAAAAUCAGAUUUCUGAAAUACAAAAUAACCUUUUUUUUA